UACAGGGGGUGCAAACGUUGCUCGGAAUUAUUGGGCGUAAAGCGCGCGUAGGCGGCUACUUAAGUCGGAUGUGAAAGCCCUUGGCUCAACUGUGGAUCGGCAAUGGAAACUGGGAAGCUAGAGUGUGGUAGGGGAGAAUGGAAUUCCCGGUGUAGCGGUGAAAUGCGCAGAUAUCGGGAGGAACACCGGUGGCGAAGGCGGUUCUCUGGGCCUUACCUGACGCUGAGGAGCGAAAGCGUGGGGAGCGAACAGG
rnacentral:rRNA from 1 species